UACGUAGGGCGCAAGCGUUGUCCGGAAUUAUUGGGCGUAAAGAGCUCGUAGGCGGCUUGUCACGUCGGGUGUGAAAGCCCGGGGCUUAACCCCGGGUCUGCAUUCGAUACGGGCAGACUAGAGUUCGGUAGGGGAGACUGGAAUUCCUGGUGUAGCGGUGAAAUGCGCAGAUAUCAGGAGGAACGCCGGUGGCGAAGGCGGGUCUCUGGGCCGAUACUGACGCUGAGGAGCGAAAGCGUGGGGAGCGAACAGG
rnacentral:rRNA from 1 species